rnacentral:rRNA from 1 species
AGAGUUUGAUCCUGGCUCAGGAUGAACGCUGGCGGCGUGCCUAACACAUGCAAGUCGAACGAAGAGGCUCCUUCGGGAGUACUUCAGUGGCGGACGGGUGAGUAACACGUAGGUGACCUGCCCCGAAGCAGGGGAUAACGGCUCGAAAGGGCCGCUAAUACCCAAAAGGGUCGCGAGUCGCAUCGCGAUCAGAGUUACGGCGUUUCGGGAGGGGCCUGCGGCCCAUCAGCUAGUUGGUAGGGUAAUGGCCUACCAAGGCAACGACGGGUAGGGGGCCUGAGAGGGUGAUCCCCCACAUUGGCACUGACACACGGGCCAAACUCCUACGGGAGGCAGCAGUGAGGAAUAUUGAGCAAUGGGCGAAAGCCAGACUCAGCAACGCCGCGUGGACGAUGAAGGCCUUCGGGUCGUAAAGUCCUUUUCAGGGGGACGAGAGAGGACGGUACCUCUGGAAUAAGUCACGGCUAACUACGUGCCAGCAGCCGCGGUAAAACGUAGGUGGCGAGCGUUAUCCGGAUUCAUUGGGCGUAAAGCGCCUGCAGGCGGCCUCGUAAGUGGGAUGUGAAAUCUCCCGGCUCAACCGGGAGAGGCCAUUCCAUACUGCGGGGCUCGAGGGCAGAAGAGGGAAGCGGAAUUCCCGGUGUAGUGGUGAAAUGCGUAGAUAUCGGGAGGAACACCAGUGGCGAAGGCGGCUUCCUGGUCUGCUCCUGACGCUAAGAGGCGAAAGCUAGGGGAGCGAACGGGAUUAGAAACCCCGGUAGUCCUAGCCGUAAACGAUGGAUACUAGGUGUCGGUGGUCCUAACCCCAUCGGUGCCGAAGCCAACGCGUUAAGUAUCCCGCCUGGGGACUACGGCCGCAAGGUUAAAACUCAAAGGAAUUGACGG